CCUACGGGAGGCAGCAGUCGGGAAUAUUGCGCAAUGGAGGAAACUCUGACGCAGGGACGCCGCGUGCAGGAAGAAGGUUUUCGGAUUGUAAACUGCUUUAGACAGGGAAGAAAAAAGACAGGACCGGGAGAAUAAGCGCCGGCUAACUACGUGCCAGCAGCCGCGGUAAUAAGGAGGGAGCAAGCGUUAUCCGGAUUUAUUGGGUGUAAAGGGUGCGUAGACGGAGAAGAAAGUUAGUUGUGAAAUCCCUCGGCUUAACUGAGGAACUGCAACUAAAACUCCUUCCCUUGAGUACUGGAGAGGCAAGUGGAAUUCCUAGUGUAGCGGUGAAAUGCGUAGAUAUUAGGAGGAACACCAGUGGCGACGGCGACUUUCUGGACAGUAACUGACGUUGCGGCACGAAAGUGUGGGGAGCAAACAGGAUUAGAUACCCUGGUAGUC
rnacentral:rRNA from 1 species